CUUUCUCAUGUUUCUCACGAGGUUCUUCGCGCAAGGACCGAGGCUCCUCUCCAGGCGCGAUAGAAAUCGGCGUGAAAUGGCACCGCGCCACAGUCAAUCGCGGUCUCAGUCGACGCGCGGCAUCCGUGUGAAACGCAUCGCGUGCCUACUCUCUCGUUUCGUUUUUCUUCUCGCCUUCCGAUAAUCGAAAACGGAAGAGAGAGGAAAAAGAAAAAAAAAAAAAGAAUAAAAUAAAAUAAAAAGAAAGAAAAAGAAAAAAAAAAAAAACAAAUAUUCCAAACUACUCUUUCCGAUAAUUUCCACAUAUGCGACGAUAACGAUCCGAUAAUAUAUAUAUAUAUAUAUGUGCAUAUAUGUGUAUAUAUAUAUACAUAUAUUUAUAUAAAGAAACCUUAAUCUUCGUGUUACUCUCCUGCUAUUGCUGUUGCUGGUGUUACUGAUAUGGCUACCAAUAAUCGUUGUCCUGUUCGAGCGAUGAGAAUUUAAAGGAAAA